GAAACACAAGAAACAGCUACAAAUAUACUGUUGUGGAAGGUCAGAAAAGAAAGAAAUUGAUUAAGAAUGGCAAAAAGGAUAUUCUGAUGUAAGAGAAAUGACAAUUCCAAUGAGCAUCGACACAUUGUUUGAACAAACCAAUUCCCUAGGACCUCUCACAGAUUACUGUCAUUCCAUGGAUGUCAGAACUUACCAAAGAAAUCAUGAAAGAUGACUGGAUGAUUCACAAUUUUGUGCACAUAACUAAAUGUUGAAAUUGGAGAAAAUGAAACGGUGAGUUUCAGGAAAAACGAAUGCACCCUCCAGGUGGACAACGUCUGAGGUCGUCGCCUGUCUUGCCACCAGCCUGAUCAUUUUCCAGGUGGGAAACCUGACAGCCAGCAGAGCCAGGGCAGCGCCUGACCUUCGAGGUUGGCUCGUGGCCACAUCCAGCUCCAGGCGGCCAUCCGCCCUUGGCUCGCCCCAAAGGCACUGCUCAGGUGACAUCACUGAGCAGGGGGCGGAGCCAUCCGAGAGCAGGGCUUUCUAGAACCUGGCGGGCCUCCCCCUCCCCCAGCCCCAACGGCCAUCUGCCCUGGUUGCCAGGCACCCGCGUGUUGGGGCGGCAGAGUUCCGUGGGGUCAGUUGUGGCCCACGGGCAGAGGCAGAGCGGUGGUGCCUGUGGGGCCGCAGAGGGCCUGCUCCCUGCCACCACAAUGUUUGGGCUGCCGGCCCUGGAGCUCCUGGGGGACACUCUCCUGGUGCUGUCGGACACCUUGAGAGCAGUUCUGGGUCUCCUGGGGCUUCCCUGGGAGACCCCACUCUGGGCCGCUCUGCUGGUCUGGGUCGUCCAGAGCGGCCGUCCUUUCAGAAGAGGAGGAGAGCCGGCCGAGAGGGGUUCUGGCUGGGCCGAAGUCUACAGAAAGGCCGGGGGAAGAACGGACGGAGGGCCCGAGGCCUUGAAGCCCUCCAGUCACCCGCUGUGGAGGCCAGCGCUCCCACGUUGCAAUGCCUGUGCUUGGCGGCACUUCCUCCCAUCCCCAACACGUCAUCUCCCAACAGGGAAGGCUUCCUGGGAAAAGGACCGAAGAGCCAGCCCUCUCACCUCUGCUGUCUCGGGCUCAUGUGGGCUCGUCUCCAAGGACAGAUCCAGUCCCUUGGAGCCACCUCAGAAGCGUACCAAGCCCAAGGGAGGCAGAGGGACCCCGAGUUGCGGACCAUGACCACCCCCCGGCCCGGCGGCCGCAAGCCCAUCGGAAGCGUCUCAUGGACCCUGGGCACGGCGAAGGGUCCCUGCAACGGCACGAAGAGCACAUCGAGGCCAUCUCCAGAAAAUGGCCUGAAGACCAUCCACUCAAUGGAGAGCUGGCGGGACAAGUACAAAGGCUCCAAGCCGAGUGCGCGUCCUUGCAGGCGGACAACACGCAGCUGGAAAGGGAGAUUCAGGAGCUUCGGCUCCACCUCAGGAUGCUGCCUCAAUU
rnacentral:lncRNA from 9 species